GGCCGUGCAGGGGCGAUGCAGAGGUCUGUGUGUUCCCUGGAAGGGCGGGCCAACAAGAAGUCCUUCCUGCUUCGGAGCGACCUCUCUCCCGUAGACAGGGUUCUUCCCUGCUGCCAGGAAGAAGUUGGGGUGUCUGGGGUGAGAGAGCAGGGGCAGGGCGUGUUC